CGUUUGACGUUAGCAACAGAAGAAGCACCGGCUAACUCCGUGCCAGCAGCCGCGGUAAUACGGAGGGUGCGAGCGUUAAUCGGAAUUACUGGGCGUAAAGCGCAUGCAGGUGGUCUGUUAAGCAAGAUGUGAAAGCCCGGGGCUCAACCUCGGAACAGCAUUUUGAACUGGCAGACUAGAGUACUGUAGAGGGGGGUAGAAUUUCAGGUGUAGCGGUGAAAUGCGUAGAGAUCUGAAGGAAUACCGGUGGCGAAGGCGGCCCCCUGGACAGAUACUGACACUCAGAUGCGAAAGCGUGGGGAGCAAACAGGAUUAGAUACCCUGGUAGUCCACGCCGUAAACGAUGUCUACUUGGAGGUUGUGGCCUUGAGCCGUGGCUUUCGGAGCUAACGCGUUAAGUAGACCGCCUGGGGAGUACGGUCGCAAGAUUAAAACUCAAAUGAAUUGACGGGGGCCCGCACAAGCGGUGGAGCAUGUGGUUUAAUUCGAUGCAACGCGAAGAACCUUACCUACUCUUGACAUCCAGAGAAUUUAGCAGAGAUGCUUUAGUGCCUUCGGGAACUCUGAGACAGGUGCUGCAUGGCUGUCGUCAGCUCGUGUUGUGAAAUGUUGGGUUAAGUCCCGCAACGAGCGCAACCCUUAUCCUUGUUUGCCAGCAC
rnacentral:rRNA from 1 species